GAUGAACGCUGGCGGCGUGCCUAAUACAUGCAAGUCGAGCGAACAGACGAGGAGCUUGCUCCACUGACGUUAGCGGCGGACGGGUGAGUAACACGUGGAUAACCUACCUAUAAGACUGGGAUAACUUCGGGAAACCGGAGCUAAUACCGGAUAAUAUAUUGAACCGCAUGGUUCAAUAGUGAAAGACGGUUUUGCUGUCACUUAUAGAUGGAUCCGCGCCGCAUUAGCUAGUUGGUAAGGUAACGGCUUACCAAGGCGACGAUGCGUAGCCGACCUGAGAGGGUGAUCGGCCACACUGGAACUGAGACACGGUCCAGACUCCUACGGGAGGCAGCAGUAGGGAAUCUUCCGCAAUGGGCGAAAGCCUGACGGAGCAACGCCGCGUGAGUGAUGAAGGUCUUCGGAUCGUAAAACUCUGUUAUGAGGGAAGAACAAAUGUGUAAGUAACUAUGCACGUCUUGACGGUACCUAAUCAGAAAGCCACGGCUAACUACGUG
rnacentral:rRNA from 1 species